rnacentral:rRNA from 1 species
UACGGGGGGAGCAAGCGUUGUUCGGAUUUACUGGGCGUAAAGGGCGCGUAGGCGGCGCAACAAGUCACUUGUGAAAUCUCCGGGCUUAACCCGGAGCGGCCAAGUGAUACUGUCGUGCUAGAGUGCGGAAGGGGCUACUGGAAUUCUCGGUGUAGCGGUGAAAUGCGUAGAUAUCGAGAGGAACACCUGCGGCGAAGGCGGGUAGCUGGGCCGACACUGACGCUGAUGCGCGAAAGCCAGGGGAGCGAACGGG